rfam:Desulfitobacterium hafniense Y51 DNA, complete genome.
GAAUACCUCUGGGGAUUGGUGAAAUUCCAUACCGGCGGUCAAGCCCGCGAGCCACUAUGGCAGAUCUGGUGUAAUUCCAGAGCCGACAGUAAAGUCUGGAUGAGAAGAGGAAAUU